rnacentral:rRNA from 1 species
CGCGGGAUUCGGGGUGCAGCAGGCGCUAAACCUCUACAAUGCACGAAAGUGUGAUAGGGGGAUUCUCAGUGCUCAAGUUUUACUUGGGCUUUUGCCAAGAGUAAGUAUCUUGGAGAAUAAGUGGUGGGCAAGACCGGUGCCAGCCGCCGCGGUAAUACCGGCGCCACGAGUGGCAAUCACGAUUAUUGGGCCUAAAGCGUUCGUAGCCGGUUUAGUAAAUUCUUUGUGAAAUCGUACAGCUCAACUGUACGGCGUGCAGGGAACACUGCUAAACUAUAGACCGGGAGGAGUCAGAGGUAUGCCUGGGGGACCGGUAAAAUGGGAUAAUCCCAGGUAGACCACCGAUGGCGAAGGCAUCUGACCAGAACGGAUCUGACGGUGAGGGACGAAAGCCAGGGGAGCGAUCCGGAUUAGAUACCCGAGUAGUCCUGGCUGUAAACGCUGCGAGCAAGGUGUUGCAUAUCUUACAUGGAUUUGCAGUGUCGAAACGAAGGUGUUAAGCUCGCCGCCUGGGGAGUACGGUCGCAAGGCUGAAACUUUAAGGAAUUGGCGGAGGAGCACUACAAGGGGUGCGGCGUGCGGUUUAAUCUAACUCCACGCAGAGAACCUCACUAGAAGCGACGGCAGGAUGAAGGACAAGCUGAAGACUUUUCCUGACGAGCCGAGAGGUAGUGCAUGGCCGUCGUCAGCUCGUGCCGUGAGGUGUCCAGUUAAGUCUGGCAACGAGCGAGACCUGCGCCUACAUUUUCUAACGACUCUUCGGAGGAUCGAGCACAAUGUAGGGACUGCUCCGGUAACGGAGAGGAAGGUGCAGGCUACGGUAGGUCUGUAUGCUCCGAAUCUUCUAGGCUACACGCGCGCAACAAUGGCAGUGACAAUGGGUCGCAACUCCGAAAGGAGAAGCUAAUCCUCGAAACACUGUCUCAGUAUAGAUUGAGGCUUGCAACUCAGCCUCAUGACACCGGAAUCCCUAGUAAUUGGAGUUCAUCAUACUCCAGUGAAUAUGUCCCUGCUCCUUGCACGAGAUUCGCCGAAUCACUAGU